rnacentral:rRNA from 1 species
GUUAGAAACAGGAUUACCAGCGGAGUACNAGGUUGUGCUUAAAACGUAAAGGACUUGGCGGACUAACACGAAACAUACAGGGGAAUCUGGGCGUUAAAGGACGAUCCGCCUACAUUUGUUCUUUAUCUUAACUUCUGCGCUUGUAUGNCCGUUUCCAGCUUUCGUACGUAAGGCGUCUGCUCAAUGGGCCGGCUGUGUGAAGAAACCUUAAUUUUUAUAUAUAUACAUAUAUGUAGGCGUUAGGCUCUUUUUUAUGCGUGACCAAGUAAUUCAGGUUGUCAUUAGGCUACUGGUAAAGCUAGUCUGGAUUACAAUUGUAGAUGAGCAAAUCGGAUCUAAAUUUUAGGAAACUUUUUACGUNAAGGAGGACUUGUAAGUAAAACUGUUAAAUAAUGGCAGUUUGAAUGAGGUGUAGUAGUA